GUUUUUUCCUGCCCGGCCAGACAGAAACACGCACUGCCAGGGAAGGGCCGCAGACUUGGAAAACCAAGUGCUACUGCGCAUGGGUUCUUUCAAGGCAGGAGGGACUGGGCUGGUGCUGAGCUGGGGGUCCCGCUCGCCUGGCCCACCUCCGAUGGAGAAGCGGCCACCCUGUCCCAGCAGGCUCUUUGGUGACGGAUCUCCAGGGCCAGGCUGGCCAAGCAAGGCUGGCGGUACUCAAUAGCUGCGGCUUCGGCUUCGGGCACAGCCCGCAGGAGGCUGCGCAAAGGGAAUUUUCCACUGUCAGGUUUCAUUCAGCUCACGCCACCACCACCGCCUGCCUGUUUACAGCGAGCGGAAAGGUGCAGCCACCCCCGGGCGGGCGGGCGCACCCUCCGUGGGAUGCGAGGGUGCAGAGCCUGCAGGGAGAACUCACGACGAAUGCAGGACUUUAAGACCCCAAGCUCAGAUUCUACAACACCCAUGGGAUCAAGAGGUGUGCAGACGUCGUCACCCCCCCCCAAAUGUCAAUAUCUGGUUCGCCAUAGCACCCCAGAGGUCAUUAAAGUGGCUCUAAAACCCUUUGGGAGUGGAGAGGAAGAAUGAAAUAAAUUGUACCUGGUUUGACCCUA